UUAAUGGGUGAUAGCGUGCCUUUUGUAGAAUGAACCGGCGAGUUACGAUUUGUUGCAAGGUUAAGCGGAAAAAGCGGAGCCGUAGCGAAAGCGAGUCUGAAUAGGGCGCAUAAGUAACAGGUCGUAGACCCGAAACCAGGUGAUCUACCCAUGUCCAGGAUGAAGGUAAGGUAAUACUUACUGGAGGUCCGAACCCACGCACGUUGAAAAGUGCGGGGAUGAGGUGUGGGUAGCGGAGAAAUUCCAAUCGAACUUGGAGAUAGCUGGUUCUCUCCGAAAUAGCUUUAGGGCUAGCCUCGAGGUAAAGAGUCAUGGAGGUAGAGCACUGUUUGGACUAGGGGCCCUUCUCGGGUUACCGAAUUCAGAUAAACUCCGAAUGCCAUGUACUUAUACUCGGGAGUCAGACUGCGAGUGAUAAGAUCCGUAGUCGAAAGGGAAACAGCCCAGACCACCAGUUAAGGUCCCCAAAUAUAUGUUAAGUGGAAAAGGAUGUGGGGUUGCUUAGACAACCAGGAUGUUGGCUUAGAAGCAGCCACCAUUGAAAGAGUGCGUAAUAGCUCACUGGUCGAGUGACCCCGCGCCGAAAAUGUACCGGGGCUAAACAUAUUACCGAAACUGUGGAUGAACCUCUUUAGAGGUUCGUGGUAGGAGAGCGUUCUAAGGGCGGUGAAGUCAGACCGGAAGGACUGGUGGAGCGCUUAGAAGUGAGAAUGCCGGUAUGAGUAGCGAAAGAAGGGUGAGAAUCCCUUCCACCGAAUAUCUAAGGUUUCCUGAGGAAGGCUCGUCCGCUCAGGGUUAGUCGGGACCUAAGCCGAGGCCGAUAGGCGUAGGCGAUGGACAACAGGUAGAGAUUCCUGUACCAGUGCUAAUUGUUUAACCGAUGGGGUGACACAGAAGGAUAGGGAAUCGCACGAAUGGAAAUGUGCGUCCAAGCAGUGAGUGUGAGAAGUAGGCAAAUCCGCUUCUCGCGAAGCAUGAGCUGUGAUGGGGAAGGAAAUUAAGUACGGAAGUUCCUGAUUUCACGCUGUCAAGAAAAGCCUCUAGGAAGAGUAGUACUGCCCGUACCGCAAACCGACACAGGUAGAUGAGGAGAGAAUCCUAAGGUGAGCGAGAGAACUCUCGUUAAGGAACUCGGCAAAAUGACCCCGUAACUUCGGGAGAAGGGGUGCUCUAUUAGGGUGCAAGCCCGAGAGAGCCGCAGUGAAUAGGCCCAGGCGACUGUUUAGCAAAAACACAGGUCUCUGCAAAACCGUAAGGUGACGUAUAGGGGCUGACGCCUGCCCGGUGCUGGAAGGUUAAGAGGAGUGCUUAGCUUCGGCGAAGGUACGAAUUGAAGCCCCAGUAAACGGCGGCCGUAACUAUAACGGUCCUAAGGUAGCGAAAUUCCUUGUCGGGUAAGUUCCGACCCGCACGAAAGGCGCAACGAUCUGGGCACUGUCUCAACGAGAGACUCGGUGAAAUUAUAGUACCUGUGAAGAUGCAGGUUACCCGCGACAGGACGGAAAGACCCCGUGGAGCUUUACUGCAACCUGAUAUGGAAUGUUUGUACCGCUUGUACAGGAUAGGUAGGAGCCGAAGAGACGUGUGCGCUAGCAUACGAGGAGGCAAUGGUGGGAUACUACCCUGGCUGUAUGACCAUUCUAACCCGCCACGCUUAGCGCGUGGGGAGACAGUGUCAGGUGGGCAGUUUGACUGGGGCGGUCGCCUCCUAAAGAGUAACGGAGGCGCCCAAAGGUUCCCUCAGAAUGGAUGGAAAUCAUUCGCAGAGUGUAAAGGCACAAGGGAGCUUGACUGCGAGACUGACAAGUCGAGCAGGGACGAAAGUCGGGCUUAGUGAUCCGGUGGUUCCGCAUGGAAGGGCCAUCGCUCAACGGAUAAAAGCUACCCCGGGGAUAACAGGCUUAUCUCCCCCAAGAGUCCACAUCGACGGGGAGGUUUGGCACCUCGAUGUCGGCUCGUCGCAUCCUGGGGCUGUAGUCGGUCCCAAGGGUUGGGCUGUUCGCCCAUUAAAGCGGCACGCGAGCUGGGUUCAGAACGUCGUGAGACAGUUCGGUCCCUAUCCGUCGCGGGCGCAGGAAAUUUGAGAGGAGCUGUCCUUAGUACGAGAGGACCGGGAUGGACACACCGCUGGUGUACCAGUUGUUCCGCCAGGAGCAUCGCUGGGUAGCUAUGUGUGGCAGGGAUAAACGCUGAAAGCAUCUAAGCGUGAAGCCCCCCUCAAGAUGAGAUUUCCCAUUUCUUCGGAAAGUAAGAUCCCUGAAAGAUGAUCAGGUAGAUAGGUUUGGAGUGGAAGUGUAGCGAUACAUGGAGCGGACAAAUACUAAUCGAUCGAGGACUUAACCAA
rnacentral:rRNA from 1 species